GAUUUUACAGUUACUGGUAACCGAGUAGUGUGCUCUAAUCUGAGAAUCGGUUUUCCGAAGUUAUAUUAUUCCUGCAGAGUUUGUACUAGAUAAUGUACUAAACCUUUAUGUUUGAAAGAUAGUCGUCGGCUUCAAAAGAAAAGUUUAUAUGUUUUGAUAUCUAUGACUCUUCAAUCAAUGAGUGACUUUCUCUGAAUUCAAAAACUUGAACUGAGCGAUAAAGUAAACAUUUUUUUCGGUGGAGGAAAAGGAGGGCUGUUGUGCAUUACAUUGGAAAAACAUGAAGAGCACGUGGAGGAUAGUCACAGCUAUACUAAUAUUUUGGCUUUUUAUCCUCAUCUAUAUGAGUGCCAACCUAUAUCAAUCAAGCGACGUCACCGAAAAUGCAGAGCGUCAAUUAACUAGGGCUAUGAAAGAAUUAGACGAUCUUAGGGAACAGAAUAAGAAAUUAUAUUCACUGGCAGAAGAGCUUCGGCAUCUGAAAGAAAUUGCCCAAAAGGGUGGAAAAAAUUGCGAGGAGUUACAAAGUAGGCUAGACGACGCUAAUUCAAAACUUAAAUCAGUAGGCGCAAAAGAAACGGAAUCAGAGAAAUUAUCUCUUACUGACUUUUCUCCGAGUUCUGAAAUGGAGAAAUCUAGGCGAAAAAUUGAGAAUGGCGUUCAAGAAAUGUGGUUUUUUCUUCGAUCCCAGCUAGGAAAAUUGAAAGAAAGCCUAGGAAAGGAUUCGCCAAUUAAUCAGAAAGUUGAUAAAAUUUUAGAAAAUGGAGCUGAUCAUAGCCGAACAAUACAAACUGAUUUGCAUCGACUUUAUGAAUCUGAACCAAUGGCAACUUGGAGAAAGAAGGAAGCAGAAGACUUAUCCGAUAUCAUUCAACGACGGCUUUUUUAUUUACAAAAUCCGAGUGAUUGUUCAGCGGCUAAAAAGCUUAUUUGUAAUAUCAAUAAAGGAUGCGGAUACGGUUGCCAAUUGCAUCAUUUAGUAUACUGCUUUAUGAUUGCUUUUGGUACUAAGAGGACACUAAUUUUGGAAUCUCACGGCUGGAGAUAUUCGCCAGGUGGAUGGGAGACAGUAUUUCAGCCCAUAAGCAGAACUUGUAAAAGUCCAGGCAGUGACAUGAGAAGGAUGUGGGGCCCUCCUGAAGUCAUUGAAAAUGUCAAAGUUGUUGAAUUGCCAAUAGUCGAUUCUCUACGACCAAGACCGCCAUUUUUACCUCAGGUCGUACCUCUCGAUUUAGCAGAACGUUUAGACCGUCUUCAUGGCUCUCCUGGAGUUUGGUUUGUUGGACAAUUCAUGAAAUAUUUGCUCAAACCCAAUUCGGAUUUGCUUAAGGAAAUAGAAAAGGCGGAAAAUCGCCUCGAUUUUAAGGGGCCUAUAGUUGGAGUUCAUGUGAGAAGAACUGAUAAGAUAGGAACUGAAGCUUCAUUUCAUAGUAUAGAAGAAUAUAUGUACCAUGUCGAGGACUAUUAUAAAUACUUGGAGAAGCAGAAUAAGGAUAUAGGAAAAAAACGUAUCUAUCUAGCAACAGACGAUCCGGAAUUAUUGUCGGAAGCUACAAUGAAGUAUCCUAAUUAUGUUUUUGUUAGCGAUGUGGAUUUCUCUAAAACAGCUAGUAUGGGAACUCGUUAUUCCCAUGCAUCUCUGAUAGCCGUUAUAUUAGAUAUACAUUUCCUCUCAAAAUCUGACUUUCUUGUUUGUACAUUUUCCUCACAAGUUUGUCGAGUAGCCUACGAAAUUAUGCAGACUUUACACCCCGAUGCAUCUGCAAGAUUCCGUUCAUUAGAUGAUAUCUAUUACUAUGGUGGCCAAAACGCUCAUAAUCAGGUUGCUAUCGCCAAUCACCAGGCGCAGGACGGAGAAAUCGAGUUAAGAGUAGGAGAUACUAUUGGUAUAGCUGGUAACCAUUGGGACGGAUAUUCGAAAGGCUUAAAUCGUCGUUCUAGUCGAACAGGCCUCUACCCGUCUUACAAAGUUGCUGAAAAAUUAGUUGUCGCUAAAUUUCCUACAUUGGGUGUUGAAAGCAGGAAAACUGUUGAUAAACAGUAAUCUUAAAAAAUAAUCUGAUCUAUUCUAAAAUCCAAAGCUUUUUU
rnacentral:misc_RNA from 1 species